CGUGUAGGCGGUUUUCCAAGUUGGGUGUGAAAGCCUUGGGCUUAACCCAAGAAAUGCACUCAGUACUGGAAGACUAGAGGACCGGAGAGGAUAGUGGAAUUCCCAGUGUAGUGGUGAAAUACGUAGAGAUUGGGAAGAACACCAGUGGUGAAGGCGGCUAUCUGGACGGUUUCUGACGCUAAGACGCGAAAGCGUGGGGAGCAAACA
rnacentral:rRNA from 1 species